rnacentral:rRNA from 1 species
CCUACGGGUGGCAGCAGUGGGGAAUAUUGCGCAAUGGGGGAAACCCUGACGCAGCAACGCCGCGUGAGUGAAGACGUAUCUCGGUAUGUAAAGCUCUAUCAGCGGGGAAGAAGGAAGACGGUACCCGACUAAGAAGCCCCGGCGAACUACGUACCAGCAGCCGCGGUAAUACGUAGGGGGCGCGCGUUAUCCGGAUUUACUGGGGGUAAAGGGAGCGUAGACGGCGUCGCAAGUCUGAGGUGAAAGCCCGUGGCUCAACCGCGGAACCGCUGUGGAAACUGCGUGGCUGGAGUGCUGGAGAGGUAAGCGGAAUUCCUGGUGUAGCGGUGAAAUGCGUAGAUAUCAGGAGGAACGCCGGUGGCGAAGGCGGCUUACUGGACAGUGACUGACGUUGAGGCUCGAAAGCGUGGGGAUCGAACAGGAUUAGAUACCCGUGUAGUC